rnacentral:rRNA from 1 species
AGAGUUUGAUCAUGGCUCAGAUUGAACGCUGGCGGCAGGCUUAACACAUGCAAGUCGAGCGGGGAAGAGUAGCUUGCUACUUAACCUAGCGGCGGACGGGUGAGUAAUGCUUAGGAAUCUGCCUAUUAGUGGGGGACAACAUCUCGAAAGGGAUGCUAAUACCGCAUACGUCCUACGGGAGAAAGCAGGGGACCUUCGGGCCUUGCGCUAAUAGGUGAGCCUAAGUCGGAUUAGCUAGUUUGUGGGGUAAAGGCCUACCAAGGCGACGAUCUGUAGCGGGUCUGAGAGGAUGAUCCGCCACACUGGGACUGAGACACGGCCCAGACUCCUACGGGAGGCAGCAGUGGGGAAUAUUGGACAAUGGGGGGAACCCUGAUCCAGCCAUGCCGCGUGUGUGAAGAAGGCCUUUUGGUUGUAAAGCACUUUAAGCGAGGAGGAGGCUACCGAGAUUAAUACUCUUGGAUAGUGGACGUUACUCGCAGAAUAAGCACCGGCUAACUCUGUGCCAGCAGCCGCGGUAAUACAGAGGGUGCAAGCGUUAAUCGGAUUUACUGGGCGUAAAGCGCGCGUAGGUGG